GUGGAGCUCACACCACGCCUUCCCACCAUUCUUAUCCACUCAUUCCCCAUGCAUCUCUCUUCACCCGUUCUCAUCCACACCAAUCUCUCUAUCUCUCCCCUUCUCUCUCUCUCGUGUAGGCUCGAGUUCGGGGAGGAGCUGCUCCGGCCGCCGCUCCCCCGCCAGGGGCGAGCCGCGCAGGCCGCCAUGUAUGCUCGAGCGCUCGGGCGCGGCCCCAUGCCGGCCGCUGCUCCCCCGCGGUGAGGGUGACCCGCGCCGGCCACUGCUCCCCCGCGGCUUCCCCCGCGACGGCCGUCGGAGAAUCUUCGAGCGGCGGCUAUAGCGGGCAGCUUCGGGCGGCGGGCAACAGGUGGAGCGCAUGCGGUGGGGGCUGGGCAGCUGCUCCCCUGUGCCUUCCCUCUCCUCAGUCGCCGCUCCCCCGUCAGGGGGCGAGCCACGCCGGCCGCCGGAUGAGCUCCGGGCAGCUCCGGGAUAUUGCAGAGGAGGAGCGAAGGCCCCUGACGGAACCUGAUCGAUUGGAAGAACAACGCGUGAGCACCCGGACCUCCUCCUGUUCUUACCUCUGCAAGUCAACCAGCAACUGGGAUUUCCAGAUCAGGAUGCGUUCGGCCUUUUAAUCAAGGUGAUGCGGUUGUGUAACCAGGAGUGGAGUUUAGGACCUAGAAUCCAAUUAAAUAGUUGUGUAAUCUUCCAAGUAAUAACACUUUGCCGUUUAGGACCUAGAAUCCAAUUAAAUAAUUUUGUAAUCUUCCAAGUAAUAACACUUUGCUUACUUUGCAUAUGCUGUAUACAUCCCUGAAUGUUGGGUGUAGAGGCUGGAACUUUUCUUCCUUUCUCUAAAAAAUAACACAUUGCAGGCUCGUAUUAAGUAUUAAGCUUAAGCCAUGCAACUGAGCAACAGAUUUCAAAAUGGCGAGCACAUAUCUUACUCUUACUAAGAAGUGACCCCUUAUUUUAAAGCCUUUGCAUCAAGAGGAGCCCUAAAAAAAGCGAGAAUUUUAGAAAUUAAAAAGAAACUCAUAGCAUUUAACCAUCAAUUUUUUGAUACACUAGAUUAAAGUUGCUACAAAAAGCCACCGCAAUGAAUUGAGCAUACUUUAGUCGGUUAGAUCAUGGUGGAGUGGAUGAGCGAGGACAGGUUGGAACAUGUAUGUACCUAUCCCUUAAUUUUUUCAAACCCGUAGGAAACGUCAACAAUAAACGGACAGAGGUUGUAUUUCAAUGCAAUAACCUUGUUCAAAUCUUUUCAAAGCGGCAUUAGUCUCCAAACAAAUGAAACGAUUAACUAAUUAAUAAGCUUUGAUUCAGCACUGGUAAACAAAUUAAAGAUAGCAUUACAAGUACAAACUCCCACUACAUCAAAAACCAACAUAGGAGACACAUAAAUCAGUGACGUGUAAAGAAAACACGUCACUAAUGUAAGGUUAGUGACGGCCAUAGUUAAGCCGUGUCACUAAUGUCUUCGCCUAAGCACAAGAGCCUGCUUGCUAGAGACGGCUCUCACUGAGAUACGUCACUAAAAAUACCUAAUAAAAAUACCUAAUAAGUCAUCAGUGACGGGUCUAAUUAAGAUACGGUACCAAUGUUGCAAUCCCCUUUUUUUUAUCCGCAUCACUAAUAUGAGGUGUUUGGAUCUAUGAGCAGGCAGAAUUGAAAUUGUGUGGAUAACCUAGGCCUAGGCCACAACAGCCUUUCACCCGGCCCAAACAGGCCCCUGCUGCCUCCCUCCCUCAAGCGCCACGCCUCUUUCCCCCAAGUGCCGCCACCUCUCUGCGCCGCCUCCUCCCUUUCAACCCUAAUCCCUUUGCUCCCUAUGGUCGAGCGUCCCAGGCCUCGACCUCGGUCCCCUGUGCGCUAGCAGUCCGCCUCUGCUUCUCCUUCCUGUGCGCCGCUGGCCCACCGCCCUCCUCCCUCAUCCGGUCCUCCCUCACCGGAUCCGUGCCCAGGCGCCCACACAUCCGCACCCAGCUGCCCGGCAGCAGGCGCCCAAGCCAUUGUCGCGGCCGUUGCACCACGUGUCGGCGCCCGCUGUGACGCUGCCUCAGCCCUCGAUCCAAUACAAGUCACGGGAGGUCGAGCGCAAGGUAUCCUCCGUGAAGAGUCGCAACCCGCUGCCACCAUGCGGGACACCGGAUCCCACCUUGCCACCGUCACCCUCCGCGAGCGGGACGGCGGAUCCCACCUCGCCGUCGGCGCCCUCCGUGAGUGGGACGCUGGAUCCCACCUCGCCGCCGUCAACCCUCCGCAAGUAGGACUUUGGAUCCCACACUGCCACCACCGGCCUCAGCGGGUGCGACGCUGGUUCCCACCCUACCGCCGCCAGCCUUCGCGGGUGGUACAUUGGUUCCCACCCCGCCGCCACCGGCCUCCGUGGGUGCGACGCUUGUUCCCACCCUGCCGCCGCUGUGGAUCUCUAGCAGCUCCUCACGGUGACCUUUUCCCUCUUUCCCUCUCCUCUUUAUGUUACCUAGGUUUCGAUUUCAGUGUUUCGUCUCACGGAUUUAAAUCAGAGAUGUUACUAUGGAGAAAGGGAGAGGCUGAAGCUUGAGCUAGGGUUCUAUGUCUUAUUGGGAUCUCAAUGUUUCUCCUAAUAGGCAGAACUGAUCUUGACUAUAGGAAGGCAACCCAUUGAUUUUUAUGUUGGAGUAGAUAAUUUACUUGUAAGGCACCUGACUUGCAAUCAUUCAACAGUUUGCAAUCCAUCUUGUUUAUGCAUAACAGCUUUCUAGGUAGAGUUCUUUGGCGAAAUCUUUGUUCUGUGGAUAGAUUAACUGUCUUGGGUUGCUAAAUAAUUGUGCCCAACAAUCAGUUUGAUCAUCUUCUGUUAGCUUUUGUAUAGAAAAGAUCAAGAGUAUAAGAAAAAAUUAUUGGUUCAGAUGAAUAGUAUAUUUUGUACACAAAAAUGAGAUAGCUUUUCAAACUUGUAUUUUCCAGAAUGUGCAUAAACUUGUGCCCCUCUGUGUACUAACAGUUGUAGUUCCAAUUAGUUCUCCACUUGAAAUAUGUAUCCCUGCUGGCAAAGAACUCUUUUGCAUACAUCAAACUAGAGCAAAUUAGUUACAUAUGCAUUGAUGUUUUCCACGGCCUCGGCCUCGAUUCGGACAUAGGGCCCCCAAUCUGGUGAGCAAACUGUUCGAUUCUCUUCUCUCUGUCUCGUUUCUUAUGUUUGUUUAGUUGACACACCUCACUGCCUGUUUUAGCGCUGAAAUUGUGAUUGCUGCUGUACUGUUUGAAGGGAUUCCAGAUUUGCAUGCCAUGGAGGGCUACAGAUUAAAUAUGCUGGAAUCGCUCUGAUUUGGCGUGUGAUCCAUUCUCUGGUAUAUAUAUGGCUAUAUCUUGUGCGUUUGGCAUCUAAUACUUUGUUCACGUCAUGUUGCCUUUUAGGUCAGACUUGAAUUAGAAUUCCUUUGGCCAUGCACCUACAUGUCAUAUCUCAUCUAUAUCCUAUACUAGUGUCAUCUAUAUUUCCUGAGGCCUUAAUACAUAAGUUCUGUACAGUUGCUAAAGUAUAUUAAUGCCAUUGUAUUUAUGAUUAGGCUAUGAUGCAGUUUUGAAGCAGCGGGCUUAUCCAGCUUGAGCCAAAUCGCUAUCUGAUUGAUUACUGAAUGCUAUGUCAUGUAUAAUACAUAUCAUUUGCUUAAUUGUGGCACUUGGCAGUAGAAUGUGGCACUGUGGUGCCAAGAAGUUGAAGGAGUAAAGAAAUAUCACAACUCCUAAAGAUUUGGAUGUGAAGCUACAACAGUCAAUAGAAAUUGGUGAAAUCAUUGCAUGAGACUGUCGGUGUUUUACGUCAAGCCCACCGAGGGAUACUCCCGAGGUGGUAGGUUGUAGAUAGGGUAUCACCGAGAUCAGGAACUCGAAGGUGCAAGGAACACGAAACUUUAGACUGGUUCGGGCUACAAUGUAUGUAAUACCCUACAUACUGUGUGGUGGUUUGUAUUACCUUAGAUGUGGAUUGAUAUGUUGUCCCUCUGGAGGGGGUCUCUGCUUGCCCUUAUAUACUCUGUGGGAUAGGAUUACAGGUAUUCUAGUCCGGUACGAGCUUAGGAGUCCUACUCUGGUCGUACCGAGUAGCUUCCUUCUGUACCGACUAGUCCUACUCGUGUCCCAGUAUAUCACAAUAGAUAUAAGGUAUGUGACAUGCCUCAUCCCUUAUUUUAGAUAUUUCUAUGCCUUAUAAGCAGUUCCACUGCCACGGGUC